UGUAGGAGUUUGGAGCAGAUCGCUCGCUGUAGGAGUUCGGAGUAGACCGCUCGCAGUAGAAGUUCGGAGUAGACCGCUCGCUGUAGAAGUUCAGAGUAGACCGCUCGCAGUAGAAGUUCGGAGUAGACCGCUCGCUGUAGGAGUUCAGAGUAGACCGCUCGUAGUAGAAGUUCAGAGUAGACCGCUCGUAGUAGAAGUUCGGAGUAGACCGCUC
rnacentral:lncRNA from 1 species